UGACUUCGGUUUUAAUAUAUAAGAUGCCGAUCCAAACUUAUAUUUAAUUUUAAUAUUAGCCCACACGAAAAAAAAAUUUAAAAUUUAAAAAGAUUCUAUAUCUGACUCUCUCACACUCUCCAAAUAUAUCUAAUUUCAAAUCAAUUUCUCUAUACCGGUGGACAACAUUGAUGUCGUUGCCGCUUUAGCUCCCGCCGAUAAACCUGGAAGAUCAGUUGGUUGGCAACGCAAGUAAGUAAAUCUCGACAUCGAUCUGCUUGAUUUUUUGUUCUUUUUUUUUUUUCCUUGGUAAAAAUAUGUGUUCGUUAUAUAUAUAUAUAUCGUUAUCACAAGAGUGAGUGAUUGGUGUUGAUCUUUCCAUACAUUAAGAUACAUAAACUUAGAUUACAUAUCGCAUUAAAGUUACAGGACGAUAUUUAGAUAUUCAUUUGUUUUCCUCGUAUAUCAUGAAUAACUUUGAGACCCGUGCCUUGCACGGGAUGAAUUUACUCGACAACAUAUAUAAGAUAAUGCACAAUAAAUUAUAGUAAGAAACUCUAUUAGAAAGAAUGUGUAUUUUAUAUUUCUGUGUGCACUUUAAAUUUAUGUUUGAUACUCCAUCUGUUUCAUAAUAUGUGUCAUUUUAACAUUUUUUCUUGUUACAAAAAAUGUCACUUUACAAUUAUAAUGUAAAUUAUACUUACUUUUAGCUGAAAAGUAAUUGAAAACUGCAUUGAUUUUAUAAAUAAUUUUAUUUAUCUCAAAUACUAUUGGUCAGAGAGGUAUAAUUAAUAACAACUUACAUAUAUUUCUGCCACUUUCUAAUCUAUAUGAAAAUAUCAAAAUGACACUUAUUUAGAA
rnacentral:lncRNA from 1 species